GAAGAAGAACAGGAGGAGGUGGAGGUGGAGAAGGAAGAAGAAGAAGAACCAGGAGGGGGAGGAGGUGGAGGUGGAGAAGGAAGAAGAAGAGGAAGAGGAGGAGGAGGAGGUGGAGAAGGAAGAAGAAGAAGAACAGGAAGAGGAGGAGAUGGAGGAGGAGGAAGAAGAAAAAAGAAAGAGCACUGCUCCAACUGCAAGUUGUCCUAAGGCCAUAUUCACACCACACUGUGAUGCCAUUGUAAACAGCCAUGAUGUCCCCCAAAGAAUCCUGGUAACUGUAGUACUGUAUGUUAAGGGUGCAGAGAGUUGUUAGGAGACCCUUAUUCCUCUCACAGAACUACUUUUCCCAGAGCUCCCUAUGAAGAGGGAUUGAUUGCUAAUCCGCUCUGGAAAUUGCCCUGUGGUGGGAAUAGGAAUCACCUAACAGCUCUUGGCACACUUAGCAAACUACAGUUCCCAGAAUUCUUUGGGGGUAAGGGUAGAAACUGGCCUACUGAACAAUGUGAACAUUUAAUAUAAUAAAAAUAAUUUAUUAUUUAUACCCCGCCCA